CUAAAUGCUCAAAGAGCUGUCAAUUCCUCCUUCUCUUCCUUCUCAUUCUUUCUCUCUUCUCCCCCUUGCGCCGCCAGAGAACAGUUGGCCACCACCAGCCGCUGCACAGCCCACAGAAACACCACCAAGAAGCCCCGACCUUCCUCCUCACUCCCACGUGCAGCCCAACAGCAGGCGGCUGCAGUCACACGCCUCACAGCAGCAGGCGGCUGCGGGUUUACUUCCCCAUUGGCUCCGCGCAGCUCUUCUCCACCACCGUGUCUUGAAUCACGCCACCACCACAAGAACCACCAACCUCUUGACCAUUUUCUAGUUUCACCCAUUUGAUGCUUGCAGCAGGAGGAUCAUAGCUUGACAUGACAGGUAUAGGAGCUUCUUUAGCUUUGCAUUGGGGGAAAGAGCGGAGUACGUUCGUAACAACUGUGUACAAAUUGUCUAAUGCUUGUAGCUUCUAUAUUACUUGUAAAGUUAUCUUUUGGGGUUGUAUAAAUUCUUUUGUAUGGAGCCAUGUGACUCCUUGUAUGAUCCAUUGCUCCGCUGCGUAGUUUUUUUUUGGAUGUAUAGUAUUGAGAAUACUCCUGUAGUAUCCGUCAGAUCGAUGCGUUAACACUGGAACCAUGAUCCUCAUUAGGGUUGAUGAUUUGAGAAGCCGACGAUGAUUCUUUUCGUCGUGACAUAUUCUUGAA